rnacentral:lncRNA from 1 species
AGAUAGUGCCUCACCUGUAGACUCAGGGAUAGAAACAGUGGACAAAGAAGAUAUAAAAGUAUAAUGUGGUGACGACAGACGAUGAUAACUUAAACCGACAUAGUGGGGAUUAGGAUUAAGUGUGGAUCGUACACCUUUGCGGAGUGCAAUUGGUUGACUAAGAGGAGACAAGUCCGCAGUAGGUGCAGAAUCUGAUGCGGGGCGUGAAUCACCUGGACCUGAUGCUGGAUGUGGACGACGGUGAUAAGUCAAGAGUGGUGGAGCUGCAGAAGGUUGAACUGGAUUAUGUGGAGGAACUGGAGCUAUAGGUGGUGGAGCUACAACCGGAGCUGUAGGUGGUGGAACUAGAGCUAUAGGUGGUAGAGCUACAACUGGAGCUAUAGGUGGUGGAGCUACAACUGGAGCUGUAGGUGGUGGAGCUGG